AUUGCAUUAAUCAAUGAACCCAUUUCAAUUGUCGAACUUAUUAUUCCUUUACAAAUGUGGCAAUAACCUACAAGAGUUCCCGCUAAUUUUUUAAGGAGAAAAUUUUAGUUAAAACAUAUUGAAAGUCUUUUACAAAUGUGAUCUCACCAAGAUGUGUCAUCUAGGGUUUAUCUUUUCAAGUCUUUCAGGAAAAUUGAAGUUUAUGGUUUUUGAUCUAAAGACAAUGUAUCCAGUAAAGAGCAGCAAUGGUUUUGAAGGCGAAAAGGUUGAGAUCGGAUGAAAGUCGAACAAUGCAUAAAUCAUGGAAAUUGAAGUUUAUAGUGUUUGUUCUAAAGACAAUGUAUCCAGUAAAGAGCAGCCAUGGUUUUGAAUGCGAAAAGGAUGUAAUCGGAUGAAGCCGAGCAAUGCAUAAAUUAUGUGAGUGUAGUUUCUAUUACAUGAAGAUUAUAUAGCUGAAAUGAUAACUGAAAGUUCUUAAUUGCUUCUUUUAAGUAGAAGCAUUUUUUAGUUUGUUUUGAGGAGGUGAAGUGGUUUUCCUUGUUAGGGGUUUCUUUAGAUUUAGUACUUCAUGUAUUGCUCUUGAUGGUAGAAAUGGUUGGCUUUGUGUCAUAAAGCAAGUUAUAAAUUAAUCACAAACCUUGAUGGGUUGUACUUCUAGCCUUUAGAUUGAUUCGAUCCCUAACACUUGAGAUAUUGCUUACCUGUUUUGAUUUGAAGACUUAGUAUGCUAAAUAAAGGGUAUUCAUUUUGUCA